UAAUAGUUUUACCUUAAAGAUUAGGUCGAAUAACGGCUGCGAAGUCCGGUGCAAGUCCGGCGCUGUCCCGCAACUGUAAUCCCAUCCCCAGUUUCUGGAACUGGAAAUGGGUAAGCCAGGUCGCCAACGUUAUUCGUAG
rnacentral:ncRNA from 2 species